rnacentral:lncRNA from 1 species
AGGUGUAAUGACGCCGGUGUUCGAGUUAUAAAGGCUAAUGUGGAUUGUACCAUUGAUGAAUGGCUUUCAUCUUCUGCUUUUGGAUUUGAUGAGACACAGCUUAUUGCUUGGGAUGAUAUGCCUCAUGAUACAAGUACUUGAUCUCCUUUUCGAAUUCAGGUAUUAUAUCAUUUCCUAUAUUUUUCGUAGAUGAAGUAGUAAAUAUCACCUGAAACACAUGCACACGAACAAGAGAUUUGGGUUCGAAUCCGUUAACUAUAGAGGAUAUUUAUCCAAUAAUCUCGACAUUGUCAGUUAAAUUAGAUCUUACGAAUAUAUCAUUUCAAUUCUACUAUACCUCUUGAUAAUUCAGUGGUAUUUACUCACCACCGUAUAAGAACAAACCAAAUAAGUAAUUUACAUGCAACGUAAAAAUUAGUUAUGGCUUGUUCUCGUUAAUUGUUGGAUAAAUACUCCUAAACUAUCAAGAAGUAGCAUAAAUCUCACCUUAAUUUAAAGCCAAAUCAGUCCU